CCUACGGGCGGCAGCAGUAGGGAAUUUUCGGCAAUGGGGGGAACCCUGACCGAGCAACGCCGCGUGAACGAAGAAGUUAUUCGUAAUGUAAAGUUCUUUUAACAGGGAAGAAAGAGAAAUUUGACGGUAACUAAAGAAUAAGCUCCGUCUAACUACGUGCCAGCAGACGCGGUAAUACGUAGGGAGCGAGCGGUAUCCGGAAUUAUUGGGCGUAAAGGGUGCGUAGAUGGCAUAGUAAGUCUUUUGGAAAAAUGCUGGGCCAAACCCAGUUGGGCAAAAGAUACUGCAAAGCUAGAGUAUGGGAGAGGCGAGUGGAACUACAUGUGUAGCGGUAAAAUGCGUAGAUAUAUGUAAGAACACCAGUGGCGAAGGCGGCUUUCUGGGUCGAUACUGACAUUGAGGCACGAAAGCGUGGGGAGCAAACAGGAUUAGAUACCCGAGUAGUC
rnacentral:rRNA from 1 species